rnacentral:rRNA from 1 species
CAGUAGCCGCGGUAAUACGAAGAGGGCUAGCGUUGCUCGGAAUGACUGGGCGUAAAGGGCGCGUAGGCGGAUUGUUUAGUUAGGCGUGAAAUUCCUGGGCUUAACCUGGGGACUGCGCUUAAUACAGGCAGUCUAGAGUGAGGAAGAGGGUUGUGGAAUUCCCAGUGUAGAGGUGAAAUUCGUAGAUAUGCGGAGGAACACCGAUGGCGAAGGCAAUCCCCUGGGCCUGCACUGACGCUCAUGCACGAAAGCGUGGGGAGCAAACAGGAUUAGAGACCCGCGUAGUCCCUGUCUCUUAUCA